rnacentral:misc_RNA from 1 species
UACGGAGGCUCCAAGCGUUAUUCGGAAUUAUUGGGCUUAAAGGGUGCGUAGGCGGGACAGUAAGUCAGUGGUGAAAGUUUGCAGCUCAACUGUAGAACUGCCAUUGAAACUGGUGUCCUUGAGUCAUUAUGAAGUGGUUAGAAUAUGUAGUGUAGCGGUGAAAUGCAUAGAUAUUACAUAGAAUACCGAUUGCGAAGGCAGAUCACUAAUAAUGUACUGACGCUGAGGGACGAAAGCGUAGGUAGCGAACAUG